rnacentral:lncRNA from 1 species
GGCGCACUGGGGCCGCCGCCGUUCCCGCGCUCCUCCCUCUCCUCUGCACCCACUGUCACGCUACCCGCCCGCGGGGGAGCCUCGAGAGCCUCCAGGUGAAUUGAAAGUCGUUUCCGGGGGAGGACGGAGAGGGUGCUGCAGUCCUGGCAUGCCCUGAAACUGCAAGUCGGGCAGAAACGACCCGGCGGAGGAGCAGGGCGCGCAGCGCCCUGCGCAGCAUCCCCGGGCUGCCAGAAGAGGCCACCACUCGGCUGGCAGCCGCGAGCGGCGGCCGAACCUCGGCCCCAGACUCGGGCCCCCGGCACGCUCGCCCGGGAGAUACCCCUUCCCCCUCUUGCGCAUUUCGCAGCUGCGCUGGUGUGGGGCAUGAGAGCGAGGUGGCUCCAGGUCUCCGCGGAGCAGCUGCCAGUGGGAGAGCGAGGAGAGGCGAGGGGGCGGCAGCCUCGGCCCGAAGACUGUUUCCUUGGGCCCUCGGUUUAAUGCUGUCCACCACCCAUGAGCAAAACUCUUUCUAUGGCAAGAAACAUCGAACACCUGUAGUGG